rnacentral:rRNA from 1 species
UACGAAGGGGGCUAGCGUUGCUCGGAAUUACUGGGCGUAAAGCGCACGUAGGCGGUCAGUCAAGUCGGGUGUGAAAGCCCUGGGCUCAACCUGGGAAUGGCAUUUGGGACUGCAAGGCUGGAGUUUGGCAGAGGAGACUGGAAUUCCUGGUGUAGCAGUGAAAUGCGUAGAUAUCAGGAGGAAUACCGAUGGCGAAGGCAGGUCUCUGGGCUAUAACUGACGCUCAGGCACGAAAGCGUGGGGAGCAAACAGG